rnacentral:lncRNA from 1 species
GAUAAACAAAGAGACGAAUUCAGAAUCUGAGAUAGAGCCCAGGCAGCCUAGCAAUGGAGUAAUGUCAGGAGAGGGGUGGAGACUUUUUGGACCAGGGCUCCUCCCUGAAGCAGCGAACUCAGAGUCAGGACUAAAGGAGCCUCAGUUUUCUAAGUGUAAGGCAAGAAAUCCAAAUACCAGAGCUGUGAGCAGAGGAGUGGACAUAGGCAUUUCCCUAGAAAGCAACAGAGCCCAGUGUCCCCGCGAUGCAGUGGUAGGAGAGAUUAGCAUGUUAAAAACAAAUGAGGUAGAGCUAGAAGCUGCAUCAGGCUGGGUAGGUGGACUCCAUCCAUAAUGCCACACGGAAAGAAAGAUCACUUGUUCUCCCUCACAGCCUGUC